AUACGUAGGGGGCAAGCGUUAUUCGGAAUUAUUGGGCGUAAAGAGUGCGUAGGUGGUUACCUAAGCGCAAGGUUUAAUACAGCGGCUUAACUGCUGUCUGCCUUGCGAACUGGGCUACUUGAGUGCAGGAGGGGAAGGCGGAAUUCCUAGUGUAGCGGUGAAAUGCGUAGAUAUUAGGAGGAACACCGGCGGCGAAGGCGGCUUUCUGGACUGUAACUGACACUGAGGCACGAAAGCGUGGGGAGCAAACAGGAUUAGAUACCCUGGUAGUCCACGCCGUAAACGAUGAGCACUAGGUGUUGGGCCCGAAUGGGCUCAGUGCCGCAGUUAACGCAAUAAGUGCUCCGCCUGGGGAGUACGCUCGCAAGAGUAAA
rnacentral:rRNA from 1 species